rnacentral:lncRNA from 1 species
GUUCGCAAUAACAAACAUACCCAUAUUAGGUGCAUCUGUAACAAGGCACAUACCCUUUUUUAGUGGAUUUACAAUAACGCACGUACCUUUUGAGACUGAUUCGUAAUAACGUACAUACCUAUUUUAGACGGAUUCGUAAUAACGCACAUACCCAUUUUGACCGGAUUCGUAAUAACGCAUGUACCUAUUUUGACAAAUCAACGCAAUCACCAUUUUAGCCAAUUCGUAGAACCAUAUACGCGCCAAUUUAGCUGAAUUUUAUAACGCACUUACCUAGGAACGGAAUCAGGAUUGGAAAAUAGGGUAGGCUAAUUUUCUCUGUGUUCUAUGUAUUGCAUGAAGCCCUAAAUUUUUUUUUUUUGGGUCUCCUAAAACUUCCAC